AAAUUUUUAAAAAAUUUUAUUAAGGUCAUAUUGGCUUUUAAGGUUGUGUACAUUUCAGGUGUACAUUACUAUAUUUCAGCUUCUGCAGAGAUUCCAUCAUGUUGAAAGGUUACAACAGGAUGGCUUCCCUGAGUGAUGACCCGAGGGAAGCGAGGCAUAUUUGUCUCCCGCUGCUGCCAUACAAGGCACUGUGAACUCAGUGGCUUAAAACAACACAAAUGUAGUAUUUUACAGUUCUUGAGGGCAGGCAUUCAAAAACGGGUCUCAGCGGGCUAAAGUCAAGGUGUUGGCAGAGCUGUGCUCCUUCUGGAGGCUCCAGGGGAGAAUCCAUGCCCCAUCUCUUUCAGCUUGUAGAGGCUGACCACUUCCUUGGCUCAUGGCCCCACAUUACUCCAACUUCUUUUUCCGUCAUCACACCUCCUGCUCUUUGACUUUCCUGCCUCCCUGUUUUCCUUAUAAAGGCCUUUGUGAUUCCAUUGGGCCCACCUGGAUAAUCUCCCAUCAGAAUAAUCCCCUAUCUCAAGAUCCUUAAUUUGAUCACAUCUGCAGAGUCCCUUUUGCCAUAUGAGGUGACAUAUUCAUGGGUCCUGGGGAUUAGGAUGUGGACAUCUUUGGGGAGCCAUUAUUCUGUCUACCAUAUGAAGCAUAGUAUCUAGAGGAAGUGGGAACAGCAAGUUCAAAGGCCCUGAGGCACGGGUUGCCUGGCACGUUUGAGGGAGACGGAGGCCAGUAAGGAUGCAGCAGAGUGGGCAAGGGGAGCGUGAUCUCUCACGAGGUCAGAGAGGUGAAGAAGGUGGAGCGGCUUGUGCAGACCCUAGUGGGUCCCAGUGAGGACCUGGCCUUUACCUGAGUGAGGAGAGAGAAGAGACUAUCCACAAGGGGGCUGCUGCAAUAUCUAGGUGAGAUAAUGGGGGCUGGACCAUGGUACUAGAGGGAAGUAAUGAGAUGGGUCUUAUUCUGGAUUUUGAAGGUUGAGUCACAAAGAACCAUUUAAGGUCAAAAAUGGAGAGUCACAGAAAGCGGGGGGAAUCAAGGAUGACUCCAAGGGUUUUGGCCUGAACUGGAAGAACUAAGGUACUCUUUAGGGUGGGGAAGACCACAAAAAGGUCAGACUUGGGGCUGCUGGUGAGACAAGGACUUUGCUUUGAAACACUGUUUUUAUCCAAAUGGAGAUGCUGAGCCGGAAGUCAAGUGUAUGAGUCUGCAGCUUAGGAGAAGGGUCUGGGGGAGUCGUUUGGGAAACAACAGAGAGGUGGGAUUUAAAGCUGUGAGCCUGGAGGAGAUCUCUGAGGCAGCACAUGCAGAGACGAAAGGACAGAGGACUGAGACCUGGGCCCCUCUGAUGAGGAGGAAUGAGUGAUGGAGGAAGCAGGUGAGGGCGGGGUCCUGCAAGCCAAGUGUGCCAAGUGCCGCAGGCUCUGUCCACAAUAAGUGUGGAACGAGGAGCUGGUGGAGGGGAGGACGACCCCUCUUGCUUUCCAGGGGCGUUCUCUGGCAAACAGUCUCUAUGGGAGCCAAUCUAAGGGAGUCGGACCUGCUGAGGCGGCCCUGCUCCUGUGAGCCAGAAGCUGUCUCCUUCCAGGAAGGUGGAACGGGUCUGCUCUGGAGGCGCGGCCUCUACUCUCCCAGCAUAAUUUCCCUCGGCUCUCAACUCCAGCUGGGCCUCUAAGACUCAGCUCAGUUACCUCCCUUCUGCCAGGUGGCUAUGCUGACCCCCCAAGACUGAGCUGGGUGCCCCUCCAACCAGCUCCCACAGGACCCACUGCUCCCUGCUGGAGAACUCCCCACACCAAGCCUGCUUACAUGUCUCAGCCUCCGAACAGGCUAGGCACACCCUGGGUUUCUGGGAAGCUUCCUUAUUUCUGCAUCCCCAAUGCCUAGUGUGGUGCAAGGCAUCUAAGAGACUCCCGUAAAUGCUUGUCAACAAACACUCAGAAGUCCAUUCUGCUGGUGUCUGGCCACGCCUGGCCCUCCUAUGCAGAAGCUCCAGCCCCUAGACUUCUUGGGAAACCUAAGGCGCUGGGGGAUGCCGUCCCACCCUUGGCAGCUCAGCAGGGACCCUCACAGCACUUGGCCUACUGACUCUCACUGACUGUGUGUUAGAUGCCAAGGAAAAGGUCACGGACGUGGGCCCAAGUCCGAGUCCUGGCAUUCUCAAGUAGUCAGGACUGCAGUCUCCCGUGUCUAAAAUGGAAAUGAUACACGCUUAUCCUUGAAGUCACUCCUCAUCAGUUGUGACAACAUUCGGGAAAGUGUUUGGCAAACUGUAAACCAGCCAGGCAAAUCGGAGGCACGUUGAGGCUUUUCCUUGGCAGCUGAUCCUGGGCACAUGACUGGGCCUGUAUGACCCAUCCCACGCCACGUGAGGCCUUCUCCUUGGUUCUUCUCAAGCCACUGAGGACAAGCAGCAUCUUCCUCAGACAACAGGAACUGGGGAAUAAGUGGGGUCUGGCCCAGCGGAAACUCUAACACACAUAUGGACGUGCACAGUGUUUCCAGUGACUAAGGGCCACACGAAGCAGUUGGCUGGACCCUUCCUGAAACUUGUCCCAGAAUGGGCUCAGCUGCGGAACUGCUCUGACCAGAGCUGCCCCGACUCUGGCCAUCCUUGGCCCCACUGUCCCGCUUUUCUGGGGGCGAGCCCUCUCCUCCCCUCAGGGCAGGGACCCAGGCUCCCCCUUUCCCUCGGCAGCAGGCGACACACAGGAGGUUCAGCAUGCAGGGUAGUUUAUUGAUAUUUGCUUCCCCAAAUAACCUUUUCUCACCAGUGAAGGUUGAAAGAAUGGGGGUGGGGAGGCAGGGAGGGCGUACAGAUGAAAGCCAAAAGGCACAUCUUGAAUGUGCUGGGAUGGGUUCAAAACAGGUUGGUCUGAGACUGACAAGCCCCCAUUUCAGAGGCUCGGAAAGCUUGGGCCUGGGGCCGGCCUCGUGGCCGAGUGGUUAAGUGUGCACCUUCCGCUUCGGCGGCCCAGGGUUUCGCCAGUUCAGAUCCUGGGCACGGACAUGGCACUGCUCAUCAAGCCAUGCUGAGGUGGCAUCCCACAUGCCACAACUAGAAGGACCCACAACUAAAAAUAUACAACUGUGUACUGCAGGGAUUUUGGGAGAAAAAGGAAAAAAUAAAAUCAUUAAAAAAAAAGAAAGUUUGAGCUCAAAAACGUGCACUCAUUCAGCCAAAUCCCGUCCAUCUGCUGGAGAACAGGACGCUACACCCGUGCAGGUCUUCUGCUGGUCUUCUUCUGAGGCCGGGCAUCUUUCAGACCUGGCUGUUGCACCAGUGAGACCACGAACACUGCAGUGGUCCUGGCGUCUUGAACUAAACACACAGGGGAGGCCUGACCUGGCUUCAUCGGCACAGGCAGAGACAAAGGUGACUGGUUAGCAGGAGCUCCCCAGUUCACAGAUCGGGGGAGAGGGCGGUGCUUGUCAGUAUUAGAUAAUGACUCUAAAAUGUAGUGUAAACCCCACAAGGUGGGUGACUAAAGGCUGGACACAAUGAUAAGUAAGAAAGUGUAACUCUGUGAGCUGACUCGACUUCUGAACAGACUUCUAAGACCAUCUCUGCUCACAGGGUGUGUGCUCCCCUUGGCUCUAAACCGUCACAGAAACAGAAGGAAGAGGAAGUGGUGGUCUGCCCAGAUGGGGCCUGGGGACUGUCAUGACUGUCCAGAUUGCUAUGGUCAGAGGGCAUCCCAGCCAGACCCUGAGCCCAGGGUGGAGCGAGGGAGCGGGACGCCAGGUCCCAGGAGGGCUGCCCGAGGCCCUCGCCCACCUGCCCGGCUCUGCAGGCUCCUCGUCUACCGCUUCUUCUUGGCCUCCUUCUUGGGCCUCUUGUUGGCGGAGGGAGCAGCAGCCUUGGGCUUCCUCGUCACCUCUGCACUUCUGGGCUCCAAUGGUUCUGCCUCCUGUGUGGUGAUAGAAAGAAGAGUCCUACUUAGACCAACUAAGCCAACCCUGGCAAAAUGAGAGCAUGUCGGACAGGACUUUGCACACUGAAGCAAGCCUCAGAAACACAAGGGAUGGAAACCACGAUUGCCAGGACCCAGAAUCCACACGUCUGCAGGACCACCCCUGGGAGCAGGGCAGUUCUCAGUGAAGAAUGAGGGAGGAGGCCCGAGGGGAGGAGGCAGUCUUUGGACUGGCUGGAAUCCAGGUUCCUCCAAGUGACCUUGUAAGCAACUCACUUCCCCUUUCUGUGUCUUGGUUUACCCACCUGAGAAGUGGAAAUAGUGAUGCACACCUUGGAGGGCUGACGUAAGGAGGCAAAAAUGCAUGGACAGCACCCAGUGAAUGCGGCUGCACCCAGGGGCUGGCUGACCACCCUACAGAGACUAGGCAGAAUUUGGGUGAGGAGCAGCUGCGGGGCCGGCGUCCUGUGGCUUGCUCUCCUUCUGGCCCUGCUGUUCUCCUCCUCUCAUUCAACCCACAGAAUGCCAGGGCUGGGAGCAGGGAGCAUGCCAGCCGGCAGGUGGGCAGCCACCACACUGUGUUCCGUGGGGCCUGGCAACGGUGCCCUGUGGGGGAGGGCAGAGGGCAGCCUCAGGGCAGAACUCCAGACCCUCCCUACAACUGGGGCGGCUCUGACUUUUAUCUGUCGUGUAGAUUGUGAUUUGUUCCCUGAAAGAUUUGGUUUAAACAAAGGGUCUGCUGCUAAAAAAGCUUCAAAACCGCAGAUCUAGUCUGGCCUUCACUGUGCUGAUAACAAAAAUGGGCUCUGGGGAGGGGACUCGGCCUGCCCCGGCCACAAAGGCUCAGGUCAGAGAAGAAUCAGAUGUGGACUCAGUCCUAUCGAGUACUGCCUCCUCCCAGGUGGUAAACCACACUGGGCCUGGCCGGCAGGACAUUGGCAAGGCCUGCCUGGCCCAGAGAACACCAACCACAGCCCCCGGGCCUAGUCCGGCCCACAGGUAGACUUCAUUUGACCUGUACUGUUUAUUUUUAAGAAUUUGAGCCAAUUGGGAGAAUUCUCAUUCAAUCUGGAUUCCUAACUUUUCUUGAAAACUUUAAACAUCCGGUGACACUGGCCCCGAAUCCCCUCAUGGAAGACAUGGGCUGAGCAGUGACUGCCCCUUCAUUCAGGUGCCCACGACCCCCACAGCCCCGCCACCCCCAGCACCAGAGUAAGGAAAUGUUUCUCGCUUUCUGUGUUCUUUUAUUAAAAAUGGGAAAACAAAAAGCAGACUAAGAAUACUAGGAGGGAGCACACUUUUUCUAGAAGAGAAAACUAUUUCAUGUUUAGUUGGCCUACUCCCAGCUUCCAGCUUGCUUUCCUCUAGCCCUCCCUGCUCCUGUCGGCCCCUGGCCCAAGCCUCCAGCCUCGUCAGACAGAAGAGGCAGGACUGUGGUUGGAAGGGCUGCUCCCCACCUAAGGCCCAGUCCAGAGCUCCGUCAGCUCCCUCUUAUCACCAGCACUGUCUGCUCUCCACCCUGCCAGCCCACCAGCCUCGAUAGCAGAUAUAAAGGCCCAGCGCGGUCCCAGGCACCCAUGGGUGAUCUUCCCAAGACAAUGAGCCCUCCACACCCUGGCCAGGUCUCUGCUCUGGACUCCCCCCAGCCUGUCCCCUGUGCUGAUACUGUUUAUGUAACUUAGCAAAAAAGAAAAAAAAGUUAGCCCACUAGAAAAACAAACAAAACAAAACCUCCGAGGAGCCAGUGUGUCAAGUGCACAGGCUGCCGGCUGCAGAGCCCAGCGGGAAGGCUACUGUUUAAGGCAAGCCCCACAGGGCACAACGCCUUUGGGGACCCUGGGAGCUGGAAACUGCCCCCAGUGCAGUACCUGUGAGGCCAGUGGAAAGCAGUCAGGCCUGAGUGCCCUGGGCAAACAGGCCCUGACAUGGUUCAUGCACGGGAAACCUGCUGAGGCCUGCCAGGGUCUCCAGGGAUGGAGCCCCAUGAGCUCAAAGCUGGCUGCCUCCUCCGGUUUCAGUGGGGGCUGGUUCAGAAUCCAAAGAGAUGGUGAUACCCAGCUGCCAUCCCCAGGGCUUCCCUCUCUCUAUAGACCCUCUCCCGGAUGCCUCAUCCUUUCUGGCAUCUCCCAGACCUCUCUCCUGAUCCAGCUGUCCGUCAAAUAACUGGGACAGGCACCUCCCAGGCACAUGCAACUCAACCAAGCAGACCAAACAGGGCCCCUUCUCCAGCAGGCCUGCCUACCCACCAACAGGCAGACCAACCAGAGUCCCACUGACCCCACCCACCAUCUCCCUCCUCUCCAUCGUCCAAUCAGUCACCA
rnacentral:lncRNA from 1 species